ensembl:lncRNA
UGAUACCUGAUAGGCCUAAUGACUAUACAUGGACAAGAAGAUCUUUGCUGUCCUUUUCUCUAUCUCUGUUCCUCCCCCUCGUUCUCAGUUCUCUUUCAGUCACUCCCUCCCUCUCUCCUGAGGUGGUUUGUUAGGUCAUGUGAUCUAGCAGAGUAAAGGUCCCAAUGACUGAUUCUGCUCUUACCGCCAUUCAGCCAGUAGACUCAGAGACGAUACUUGACACCACCACCCCGUCAGCCUCCACUGCCUGGACCCCCACGGCCACCAUGUCCAUCAGUCGGAAGAACUGGUCUGCUCUGUCUCGCCUGGCUCGCCAGUGGACAGUAGAAGAUGAGGAGGAAAUAGAGAGGGAGAGGAGGCGGAAGGAAAGGAGCUACAGCAGCUCUGAUCCUGACAAUGACCUUCCAGGUGGAAAUGACCCCGGAAACCCACUCUCCAGUGACAGCACUCAAAGCAUCACCAGUGCAGAGCAGCUGGACUUUGUGGAGAUGCUCCGUGUUCGAGACGAGAGGAGGAGGAUCAGACACGUAGAGACUCUCCGACGACAGAAAAAUGAUGAAGAGGGGAGGGAGGAAGGAGAAGAGGGGGAAGAGGAGGGGAGAGUGGAAUUACUGGGAGAUCUGGAGGAAGGGAGAAAGACACUACCAACACACACUCCCAUCCUAAUCUCAUCCUCCUUCUCGCCAACAGCAAUGCUGACACCCCAAAACCCUGCAGACAGACAGCAGGAGAAGGGUUCCUGUGGUGACCCUGGUCCAGACACAGACUCAGCUAAACCUGAAACUAAUCCUUCAUCCAACACCUCACAUAAAUUUAGCAGUUCUUUGUCCAUCUCCUUUGAUAAGAGCCCAACCUACAGCGUGCCUACAAGUCCCAUGAGCCCACACUCCCCAACCACACCACUAUCCCCUGGACACACUGAGGUAAAAUACAAACACACAAAGAACAUAGAGAAUACGCCAAAAUAACCAGCUUGCUGUACAUGAGAAGGGAUAUUGGCUGCAGACAUGUUGGUACCAGUAAGGCUACAAGCAAGUCUUUGCCUUGUCUUUACAUCCAAAAUAUUUCCACUCUGUAGAAAUAGCAAAUAUUCUUAAUAUCACACUCUCUUGAGCUGGCCAAAAACUAACAAUUUUUACAAACACACUGUAUUGAGCUGGUUAAAUAUGAACUAUUUUUUACAAACAAACAGAAUUUAGCGGGCUAAAGUAUAAUUAUUUUUACAAACACACUGUAUUAAGAUGGCUAAAUAUUAACUGUAGUCCUGGGGCAAUAAAAAAAAUUGCAUACUUGUGAUACAUAUAAAUAAUACAGUGAUAUAUAUGAACAAUCCAGCCAAAACAUUAUGAGCACUCACAGGUGACACGAAUAACGCUGAUCAUCUCCUAUGAAGGGCACAAGUCAAGGUCUGGGUAGAUCAGACGGUGAUCAAUCAGUUUUUGUAGUCAACUAAUUGGAUGCAGAAGAAAUGAGCAGGAGUAGAUCUGAAUCGACUGAAUGAAAUACUGAAUGAAAAUGACUGCAUUACAUUGCUUUAGUAGUGAAAAUGGGAACGCAAGAAAAGUUGAGUUCUCAGAAAAACUAGCAUACAUGACACAUGCAUCAUACAGAAAAUAUGCCUGUAAGACAGACACAAUUUAUGGGCGACUUCAUAUAUAUAGAGGGUCACUGCAACUUUCAACAUGAUCUGGAUUUGUAAAACAAAACAAAAUGUCUACUUUUCAUAAAUCGCUUUAUAAUCAAAGUAUUUAUAUAUAUUUUAGCCAACAUUAGGGCCUGACGUCCUCUAGUGGGAUCUGUGCUCACAGCCCAGCACCGUGCAGCUCAAUUGGCAUUCAUCAGAGAACAUUAGAAUUGGCAGGUCUGCAAUUGGUGCCCCAUUCUCUUCACAGAUGAGAGCAGGUUCACACUGAGCACAUGUGACAGAGGUGAGAGAUGCCAUGGUGAACAUUAUGCUGCCUGUAACAUCAUCCAGCAUGACUGGUUUUGUAACGAACACACAAACAGGGAAUGUGGUUCCAAGCGCAGAAGCUCGUCUUUUAAAGAACAGAAGGAACAGGCACUGGCCAGUAACAGGCAGGCAGCUCAGGUGCAGAGGUGAAGGCACAUGGGUAAUCCAGAGGCAGAGCAGAUUGGUCAGAACAUGGAAUAGCACUGGUCAAAGGUACAGGCACGGAAAAGUCUGGAUCACGUCUGUAUAAAGCAAGCAGAAGUUUGGUACACAGUGUUGAGUGUUUGACAGAGGUGCUGGUGAGGAGUGUAGAAGAGCUGGUGGGGAACUAAGAGCAGGAGUGGAUCUUAGAGGUUUGAUGGUGGGUCAGUGAUGGUCUGGGGAGGCAUAUCACUAUUAAUUUUGGUGAAACUCACAUAUUGUAGGUUUUUAUGGUUUAACCAUUAUUUGCUUGUAUGUGCUUGAAUAUGUGUUUGUGUGUGUAGGACAGUGUGAAUGGUUCACCUGUUAGCUUGGAGCAGACGGCCAGACCAGCCUUCGCCAGGCAGAGCUCUAGGACAGUCUCCUUCAGG